ACAGUACAGUGAAACUAAAGGUCAGAGACAAUGGCUGUCAGUUUAGGCAUCAUCCGUUUAUUAUAAAAGGGAGGCAUGGGAAUUAUUCACAUGAUGAAGUGGUUCAGGCAUCAGUGACACCAUUUCAACAGUGAUUUCAGUCGACAUACUUU
rnacentral:misc_RNA from 1 species